rnacentral:rRNA from 1 species
AAUAUUGCGCAAUGGAGGAAACUCUGACGCAGCGACGCCGCGUGAGCGAUGAAGGUCUUCGUAUCGUACAGCUCUGUCCUCCGGGCAGAAGAAAGUGACGGUACCUGAGGAGGAAUCCCCGGCUACCUACGUUCCAGCAGCCGCGGUAAUACGUAGGGGGCAAGCGUUGUCCGGAAUCAUUGGGCGUAAAGGGUGCGUAGGCGGCUAUAUAAGUCAGGUGUGAAAUACCAGUGCUUAACACUGGAAUUGCAUUUGAAACUGUGUAGCUUGAGUGCAGGAGAGGAAAGUGGAAUACCUAGUGUAGCGGUGAAAUGCGUAGAUAUUGGGAGGAACACCAGUGGCGAAGGCGACUACCUGGACGAAAACUGACGCUGAUGCACGAAAGCUAGGGGAGCAAACA